AUCAGCUAUCUGAGCCUCCACGCUCACCCUGCCGCCAGCCCCUCCUCAUCACCCCCCUUCUUCUCAGCCGCUUCCUUCACCUCCUAGAGUAAUUAACCUGUUUUCAGUCGAAACUAGAACCUCACCCAAAUAAUCUACAGCUUCCUGGGUACCAAGACAAUCACCCACCGCCCAAGCGUCCUACACGGGGUCAGGCUAUUCUGUACACCUUUGGCAACCUGGACAUGAAUAAGAGACACUAUGCCGAGAAGGAAGCGCCCCGAUGUUUUCCUCCGGCUCCUAUUUAUCCAGUGAGUUGACAAGGAUGAGGAUCCUUACCAGAAUGAGAGGAGGUAUGAAGAGUUUUGUGAAGCUAGAAUGAAGCUUCCACUUGGAUAUGAGUUGUGCACUGUAUGUUUUUUUGAAGAGCCCUGGAGACAUGGAAAUGCAAUAGUACGUUCUGGGAAUAUGCUCUAUCAUUUCAAUUGCCACAACACUCCAAGUGUCAAAUGUGGUGAAGAAUUAUGUACGGUUCCGCAGCUCUGAACAUCAGCAGUUAUACAGGUCAUAUUGCACAAGUAUUUGGGAGACCAAGCCAGAGUUGCAGUAUGACAGGUUUUGUCGAGGUAGGGUGUAGUACAAUCUGUUGGGAAGAUUUGCAGCAGCUAAAGGUGUCUGCAAGUAUGUCCUGAGAUUGAAGAACCACAUGGUCUGCUAAUAAAAGCUACUAAGAGAUGAACUGUUGGAUGAUGGGUUGACAUGUCGUGUGAGAGUGAUGUCAAUAGACAAACUGUGAGCCUAGUGCAAUCAUGUUGUUGAGAAAAUGGUUUUCUUGGAUGAUGUCCUGCAGCUACUGUGUUAGUUAUCUUUACUUUGAUCGAUCGAAAUAUGUUUGUUGGAAUGUUAUUUACAUGGGGGAGAUGGUAACAAGCGUCGGUUUGAUCAUGGUGACAUUCACUUAUUGGUUAUGAGUUUUACAUGUGUAUCACCUGGUCACAGUUUACCAUAGGUUUGACUGUUUCUAGGAGAAUUGUUGAAUGUCGAGGAUGGGUAUUUCUGUUUAAGGUCAGCUUGGGGUGAAACCUGCAGGACAUGGUAAGAAGUGCCAAGGAAGUAUUCUGUGUUUUCUUUACUGAUCAUCCAUUCAUCCUGAUGCCGUCCUGUGGACAUGUGGUAGCAUGUGAUUCUGUUUAAAAUCCCAGGAGGUGUCUUCUCCUCAAUUUCAUUUGGAAUAAUCAGAAGAUCACAUGGUUUUUUCCCGGUGUCUGCUGGCUUGAUAUGUGGAAAGCCAUCCGGUCUUAGUGAAUUGUUUGAGCGCUGGGUGAAUGGUUUCAGCAACAUAACUCAAAAACCAGUAUUGGCUGGGAUUUCAGUGGUUUGUAGGGGCUAUGUGGAACUGAGACACAAGAAAUGUCUUGCUGUCAGCAUAUUUUAUACCUAAUUAUCCUAACACCGUUGUUCACUGUGUUUUCAGAUCGAUUCAUGCUUUGCAGGAGGAGCAAAUCAAUGAGAAGCCGCUGCUGAGAAUUUGGUGUGUGUGUUGGAUGGCAUCGACAGAUGCUUUCAAAAGAUGGGCUCCGGUGGCAAUGAGGAAACUUUGAGUUGGAUGAGCAGAAUGUUCAUACCUCCCCCACCCCUGCCUUGUUUUCCUCCACGUGUUCUUCUCGCAAUUUCAAUGAAUAUUACACCCUCCGAUCCAAAAUAAGUGUCGCAGUUUCGGACUAAGGUUAGUUCAACCUUAGUUUAAAACUGCGACACUUAUUAUGGAUCCGAGGGAGUACUAUUUUAUCAAUGUUUCACAUCUAACCUGAACUUGGUUUAGCUUCUGCAGGCUUGUCUGUCUGAUGCCUUCAUGUCACUGUGAACUGAAGCUUGUUCUUUUUAUAUGAGAAGAAGUAAGAAAAUAUGCCGGCAGACAUUUGGAUUUCCUCCACAGAUUUUCAGAAUAGUAAUGGACCAUAAGUAGUCGUGUUCCCUACUGUCAGUAGACUGCUGAAGGAGCAAUGGUUAGCCUUGCAAGGACAAUUCUGUAGUUGCUUCUCCUCCAAAAGACCGCUACUAGGAAGAAGAUAAACCCAAGGAAGAAACAUACACGAAGAUAGCUCAUAUUCUGCUAAAUAGGAGCGAUGUGGCUCAAGAUGACUAGUAGAUAUGUCGAAACAAUACACUCCCUCUGUCCCAUAAUAUAAGAGUGUUUUUGACACUAAUACACUCUUAUAUUAUAGGACGGAGGGAGUACAAUAAAAGGAACUUCCAAAAGAAGAGAAAACUGCUCUAUGUAUUUUAAGUAUCUUCUCUAGUGCUGCUUCUUGGUUGGUUCAUGUCUGAACUUUCCAUUGA